GUCGGCUCACCAGGGGCUCUACUUUGGUUCCAGUUGGCGCAGGGGCGGGGACACCGUCCGUGGCGUGGCGUGACGUCACGCCUAUGAUCGGGUGGUGGCCUGGCCAAGUCAGUGGAGUCAGUCUGAGUUUGUGAAGUGAAGCGUUCACAUACCAUCACUCCGUUUCCCUGGUGUUAAUAAUUCACGCUGAAGAUGCCUACCACGUGUGCAGUGUUUGGUUGCCAUUCCGUUUAUGAAAAAGGUGUAAAAAUAACAUUCCAUACGUUUCCGAAAGACGAAGACACAAGGCAGAAGUGGAUUACUGCGUGCAGAAGAGGAGAUUUUAUAAAUCCAACCGCUGCACAUAUGUGCAACCGGCAUUUUGAAGAUAAUGCAUACGAGAGAAACCUUAUGUACGAGCUUUUGGAAAUACCACUACCCUCAAAGCAAAGAAGGCUGCGACCAGGGGCCGUACCAACGCUGCACUUACCAAUAGUAACAAACUCCGUAACAAUUGAUGAUAUUCUAGAGAGGAGAAGAGGAACAAAACGAUUCCUAGCAGAAACAGAUGUCGCUAAUGGAGCUGCUGCAACGCCUGAGAGCGAAGCUGUUCCUGUGACAGCUGCUGGUGGGUCGGUACCAAAGAGGAGGCUUCUUUUUGGCGAUCCCACAGGUUCAGUGUCUGGCUCCUUAAGUGAUGAAGGAAAUCACAGAGGGAGGGAAGGAGAGAGAACAGAAGGCCACGGCACUACUACACAGAAGCCUCUUCCACCCCUCCAAGCUGUUCCUGUGACAGCUGCUGGUGGGUCGGUACCAAAGAGGAGGCUUCUUUUUGGCGAUCCCACAGGUUCAGUGUCUGGCUCCUUAAGUGAUGAAGGAAAUCACAGAGGGAGGGAAGGAGAGAGAACAGAAGGCCACGGCACUACUACA